GAUGAACGCUGGCGGCGUGCUUAACACAUGCAAGUCGAACGGUGAAGCAGAGCUUGCUCUGUGGCUCAGUGGCGAACGGGUGGGUAACACGUGAGCAACCUGCCCCUGACUCUGGGAUAAGCGCUGGAAACGGCGUCUAAUACUGGAUAUGAGCUGCGACCGCAUGGUCAGCAGUUGGAAAGAUUUUUCGGUCUGGGAUGGGCUCACGGCGUAUCAGCUUGUUGGUGAGGUAAUGGCUCACCAAGGCGUCGACGGGUAGCCGGCCUGAGAGGGUGACCGGCCACACUGGGACUGAGACACGGCCCAGACUCCUACGGGAGGCAGCAGUGGGGAAUAUUGCACAAUGGGCGAAAGCCUGAUGCAGCAACGCCGCGUGAGGGAUGACGGCCUUCGGGUUGUAAACCUCUUUUAGCAGGGAAGAAGCGAAAGUGACGGUACCUGCAGAAAAAGCGCCGGCUAACUACGUG
rnacentral:rRNA from 1 species